rnacentral:rRNA from 1 species
CGAGGGAUCCUAGCGUUGUUCGGAAUCAUUGGGCGUAAAGGGUGCGUAGGUGGCUAUGUAAGUCAGUUGUGAAAGCCCAGGGCUCAACCCUGGAAGUGCUUCUGAUACUGCGUAGCUUGAAUAUUGGAGAGGUGAGUGGAAUUCCAGGUGUAGUGGUGAAAUACGUAGAUAUCUGGAGGAACACCGGCGGCGAAGGCGGCUCACUGGCCAUAUAUUGACACUGAAGCACGAAAGCGUGGGGAGCAAACAGGAUUAGAUACCCUGGUAGUCCACGCCGUAAACGAUGGGUACUUGGUGUUGGAGGUAUUGACCCCUUCAGUGCCGAAGCAAACGCGUUAAGUACCCCGCCUGGGGAGUACGGCCGCAAGGUUA